rnacentral:rRNA from 1 species
CUAGCAUAUCAAUAAGCGGAGGAAAAGAAACUAACAAGGAUUCCCCUAGUAACUGCGAGUGAAGCGGGAAAAGCUCAAAUUUAAAAUCUGAGGGUCUUGUUGGCCUUCCGAGUUGUAAUCUAGAGAAGUGCUAUCCGCGCUGGACCGUGUACAAGUCUCCUGGAACGGAGCGUCAUAGAGGGUGAGAAUCCCGUCUUUGACACGGACUACCAGGGCUUUGUGUGAUACGCUCUCAAAGAGUCGAGUUGUUUGGGAAUGCAGCUCUAAAUGGGUGGUAAAUUCCAUCUAAAGCUAAAUAUUGGCGAGAGACCGAUAGCGAACAAGUACCGUGAGGGAAAGAUGAAAAGAACUUUGGAAAGAGAGUUAAAAAGUACGUGAAAUUGUUGAAAGGGAAACGCUUGAAGUCAGUCGCAUUGGCCAGGGAUCAACCUUGCUUUUGCUUGGUUUAUUUUCUGGUUAAUGGGUCAGCAUCAAUUUUGAUCGGUGGAAAAAGAUCAAGGGAAUGUGGCAUCUUCGGAUGUGUUUUAUAGCCUUUGGUUGUAUACAUCGAUUGGGAUUGAGGAACUCAGCACGCCGCAAGGCCGGGUUUUUAACCACGUACGUGCUUAGGAUGCUGGCAUAAUGGCUUUAAUCGACCCGUCUUGAAACACGGACCAAGGAGUCUAACAUGCACGCGAGUGUUUGGGUGGAAAACCCGAGCGCGUAAUGAAAGUGAAAAUUGAGAUCCCUGUCGUGGGGAGCAUCGAUGCCCGGACCAGAUCUUUUGUGACGGUUCCGCGGUUGAGCGUGUAUGCUGGGACCCGAAAGAUGGUGAACUAUGCCUGAAUAGGGUGAAGCCAGAGGAAACUCUGGUGGAGGCUCGUAGCGAUUCUGACGUGCAAAUCGAUCGUCAAAUUUGGGUAUAGGGGCGAAAGACUAAUCGAACCAUCUAGUAGCUGGUUCUGCGAGU